CCUACGGGAGGCAGCAGUGGGGAAUAUUGCGCAAUGGGCGAAAGCCUGACGCAGCGACGCCGCGUGAGGGAUGAAGGUUUUCGGAUCGUAAACCUCUGUCAGCAGGGAAGAACGGGCACUGUGCUAAUCAGCAGUGAAUUGACGGUACCUGCAAAGGAAGCACCGGCUAACUCCGUGCCAGCAGCCGCGGUAAUACGGGGGGUGCGAGCGUUAAUCGGAAUUAUUGGGCGUAAAGCGCCCGUAGGCGGUAUGUCAAGUCAAGGGUGAAAUCCCCGCGCUCAACGUGGGAACUGCAUGUGAAACUGUCAAACUGGAGGGUGUGAGAGGAUAGUGGAAUUCAAGGUGUAGGAGUGAAAUCGGUAG
rnacentral:rRNA from 1 species